rnacentral:lncRNA from 1 species
GGAAAUGAGGCUCCAGAGAGGUGGUGACAGCAGAGAAAACACAGCCUCACGUAGACCCUCCCUUCUCGAAAGGAGCCGACAGUCCUGAUCCCAGGCCCCAAAGCUCCUCUCAACCAUCAGCCCCAAUCACAACGACUCAACAACUCGACCUGCCUGCACACAACCUCAGCUCUGCACUUAGGACCUGCCCAAGCCAGCCUUCACCUUGGGAGCUGAAAAGUUCACAUCAAGCAGAUUUUCCUCCAGUGUCCUUGACAGGAAAGCUACAUCUGAGAGCGUUUAACCCCAAACUCCAAAGCUGCAAACAGUCAAGAGAACCUAGGCCAGAGCGAGGCCUGCACAGCACAGUGCACGGGCCCUCGGGACAGACGUCCAAGGGACCUGGAUAGCACUCUUUUGCCCGCCCUGGUCUGUCUGUCCUAGCACCCAGGAUGUCCCUUCUCCCCCAGGGGUGACCCUCUCACUAUAAGAGACCCUGAACUAACUACAAAAGUCUUCCAGGAGCUUCUUUCCAGGGUCCUGGGAUUUAACCAGGGAGGGUCUAAAAGGAGGAACUGACUAGAGACAGGAAGUGCCUUGGAGAGGGAAUAGCACAGAGGCAAACUGCUGGCCGAA